GCUUUGGGUAAUAACCAUUAUUUUCUUUCCCACUGUGGUGUAUAGGACAAUCUUCUUCUGUACAAAAUGCCCAAUGAAUGACAUUGUGAUUCAGAUGUUCUGGAUUUCCAACAUCUUGUGAACUAGGUGAUUCUUCAUCUUUGUCUUCUGUCUCACAAUAGGCGCAAUUGUCAAUUCCGCAUGGAUAAAAUAUUCCAUGGUAUGGAUGAUUCAGAUCGGUUCGUUGCCAGUUAAUGUCGUCCUCUUAUGCUUGUACAUGAUAUUCGCAGUCACAACCAUACAUCUGGUAUUCCUUGUGCCGAGGAUGUUCUAUGUUGGCCAUUUCCUCAUCCAUUCAUAUAGCAUGGUGUUCACAUUCACUAUGUAACAGUUUAUGCAUCCUAGAUUCAUUCAUGUCUCAAAACUGUUGAUGAUAUCAUUCGCAUUCUUCCCAGG
rnacentral:sRNA from 1 species